AAGUAACGGGCAAAUGAAAAGCUGACUAUGAAGAAUGACCAACCGUAUUUUAAAAAACAAGGACACGUGAGGCCAUUUAUGAAGAACUUCCAGGUGUAUUUAAGUAACGGGCAAAUGAAAAACUGACUAUGGAGAAUGACCAACUUUAUUUAAAUACAAGGCCAACUAUGAAGAAUGGUCAGCUGUAUUUAAAAACAAGGACAUGUAAGGCCAACUAUGAAGAACUUCCAGGUGUAUUUAAGUAAAGAAAGAUAUAAGGCCUUCAAUAAAAGCCUGCCAAGUAUAUUUAAUGACAGGGAAAUAUACAGUAAGGCCAUCUAUGAAGAGCUGCCAGGUGUUUUUAAAAUACACGGCAUAUGAAAAGCUGACUGUGAAGAACCAACAACUGUAUUUAAAAACAGGGACACCUAAGGCCAACCACAAAGACCUUCCUGGUGUAUUCAAGUAUAGAAAAUACAAGGCCUUUUACGAAGACCUGUCCUGGUGUAUUUAAUUACAGGUUAAUGUAAGGCUGACUAGGCAGAAUGGCCAACUGUAUUUAAAAACAUGGACAUAUAAGACAAAACGUGAAAUACUUCUGGGUGUAUUUAAAUAUAAGACAAAUGAAAAAUCAACUAUGAAAACUGCCAGUUGUAAUUGGGGAAAUAUAAGGCUGACUAUGAAAGAUGGCCAACUAUAUUUCCAAACAUGGACAGAUACAGUAAGGCCAGCUAUGAAGAACUGCCCGGUGUAUUUAAUUACGGGUUAAUGUAAGGCUGAGUAUGGAGAAUGGCCAACUGUAUUUAAAAACAAGGACAUAUAAGGCCAACUAUGAAGAACUUCCAGGUGUAUUUAAGUAUAGAAAGAUAUAAGGUCUUCUAUGAAAACCUGCCAGGUGUAUUUAAAUACAGGGAAAUGUAAGAGCGACUAUGAAGAACAGCCAACUGUAUUUAAAAACACGGACCAAUACAGUAAGGCCAACUAUGAAGAACUGCCCGGUGCAUUUGAUUACUGGUUAGAAUUAGAAUGCCUUUUAUUGUCACUAUACACAUGCACAAUGAGAUUAAAAGCAGCGCCUUCAGUGUCGACAUAUAUGUAGAACACAACAAGUAAAUAAACAAAUGGUGCAAAGAAGUUGCAAAAAAGUUCUGCGAC